CACGAUAAAAGCACAAAUGAAAUAUAUUGGAAAUUGAACACGUAAUAAAUUGAAGGAAUACAUGCGAAGAAGAUCAAAAUAUACAAACUAGCAGCAAUUGAGUGAGCGAAUCUUUAAUGAUCUUACCCUCUCUCCCCUUCUACCCCUCUGCCAAAUCUUUUACCAACCGUAACAACAGAAAACACGAAAAUAUAAAUAAUUAAUAGGAUAGACAUUCAAUGCAUUGGGGGGAAUAUGCGGGAGUGGGGAGAAAUCACAGCCUCCUGCACAUACUUCUUAGAAUUAAUCGAAUCAGGAACCCAGUGUAUCUCACUCAUAUUUGGGGUCUCCACAAAAGUCAUAGUGAAUUCACCCACUUUCUCCACCUUCCCUCGUUUGCCCGCCCUCAAAACAAGAUUGUUCCGGUUGUAUGAAAAUAUGCCAUUGGCUAAAAGAAUAAUGUCACCGGGCUCAAAUGCAUCACACUCAUCACCCCACAACUGGAAGUGCACUGCUGCAGUCUCGUCUGCCACCAGUGCCAAACAUGUCUUGUGCUGCCCUUCUAAUGUUACCCUGUCUUUAUCCAAUACUAUGAAUUUGGUGUUUAUAUUGUUCUGUGCUGCUGGCACAAUGUCUUUCAAAGACUGUAAAGUUUCUUCGGGAUCCAUCUUACAUACUGAUCCUCCUGCAACGACAAGCAGAACAUUACUGACCGCUCUUGCUCUGAUACACACUCUUGUUCACUCACACACAUGCGCACACACAAAUAUGUGCAGCUGCCUGCUGAACUGAAGAUUGUACAAGAGUAACUGAUUUAAAGAUUAAUUUUUCGUUCAGACAUUUGAACAAACAGCUUGCAGGCAACCCCAUCACAACAUAUUUCUACAAAAUUAUUGAACAUAUACAUAAUCAAAUGCUCAUUUUUCCAUUUGUGUGCAUCAAGGAGAUCUUUACUGUGCAGUAUUAUACGAGAUUGAACUUUACCAUUGACAAAAAUUUAGUUUCCUUUAUUACCAUAAUUGUAUUCCAUGCAUUUAUCAAUCAUGGACAAAUUAAAAAAUAUAUAUGAAUUCAAAUACCCAAAAUUUUACCUCGACGGAAUGAAAAAUCAGCUGCAGAAUCUAUAGAAAAAUGGACUUGAGAAAGCUUUCUACUGGAGGAGUAAAUGCCCAUUCUUUAUUUUAAAUUUUAAAAUUGUCGCGGUUUGGUCCCAUGUAAAUAAAAGUAAUUAACAAAUAAAAAUAAAAAAAAUGUCAGCAUGUAAACGACGUCGCUUUAUCUAUUACAACAUUACUCCACAAAAGAGAAGGAAUUGUGUAAGCGGUGAUAGAUAUAAUCCAAUAAACAGAAAUUUUCCAGUGGUGACUGAUGUGAUUAUCGUACAUUAGAUCGUGAAGGAUAAGAUUAUAUGCAAUCUGAAUUGAAGCUUGAUUAUCACAAAAGAGAAUGGCUGGAGAGUUGAUAUUCAUCUGAAAAUCCUUUAGCUAUUGAUUAAUCCAAACAAUUUCACAGACGGUGGCAACUACAACUCAAUAUUCUUCUUUAGCUAAUGAUCUAGACAUGGUUGCCUGUCUUUUAGAUUUCCAAGAGAUCAUGGAAUCCCCAAUGAAGAUGCAAAAACCUGUUUUGGAUUUCCUUGUGUCAACACAAGAGCCCCAAUCUGCACCUGAGAAAGCUUGAAGUUUGAGAUGUGAACCAUUAUUGGCAUUAGAAGCUGAGAAAAUAUGCCUUGGCCAGGGCUUUUCGUUAGACAACGAAGCAAAUGAAAGGAAUUAGCUUGGCUUGUGGACUGCAUAAGUGAUAUUAGGUCUGGACAAUGUCAAAUAGAUUAACCUUCCAAUCAAUCUUCUGUAUUGGGAUGCAUCUGAUAAGAGAUCACCUUCAUGUAAACUGAGAUGUGACUUGGGAUCCAUAGGGUAUCAACUGGUUUGCAGUUUAGAUAGCCUGUAUCCUCAAGCAAUUGUAAAGCGUAAUGCCUUUGGGAAAUGACAAUACCAGCUGUAGAAUAGGCUAUUUCAAUCCCCAUAAAAUACUUAAAACACUCCCAAAUCCUUUAGCUUAAAUUGAGUGUGUAGGAAACCUUUUAACAAAUCUCUAGCUUAGAUACUAGGACCAGUGAUGACUGUCAUCCAUAUACACCAAUAAGGCUACAAAUUGAUUUCCCUGACCUUCGAUAAACAAGGAAUAAUCAGCUUUUGACUAGACAAAGCCAAAUUCAAUCAGUGCUUGGGAGAAUUUUGAGUUCCAUUAGCGUGAUGCCUGUUUGAGUCCAUAUAUGGACUUGUGUCGUUUGCACACCAAUCUCUCCAAAUGAUUCACGUUGUUGGGAACCUCAUAACCAAGAGACUAAUCCAUGUACACUUCCUUAAAUAAGUCCCUAUUCAAAAAUGCAUUGUUAACAUCCAAUUGCACCAAGUGCCAUUUGUUGUAUCCUAAAAGUGCCAAUUGUAAUUUGACAGUGACUAUCUUCGCCACUAGAGAGAGUAUCAAAAUAAUCAAGCCCUUUCUGUUGAGUGUAUCAUUUUGCAACUAAACAACUUUUACGUCUAUCAGUGGUUCCAUUUAAUUUAUACUUGAUCUUAUAUAUCCAUCGACAACCAACUGAAUGUUUACCAAUUGGCAAAGCAACCACAGACCAUGACUUAUUUUGCUCCAUGGCUUCCAACUCGAGCUUCAUGGCUGCACGCCAUUGAGGAUCAUUAACAACCUAAUGAUAGAACUGUGGUUCAUGGUGAGAUGAAACAUUUAGGACCAGAUGUCCGUAUAUAGGGGCUAAUUUUCCAUAGGAUGCAUACUGAUCAAUGUGAUAAGGCAAUUGCGGAGAUGGCUGGGAAUCUUGAGACAACAAGCUGCAAUAAAAAUCCUUAAGGUAUGUAGGAGGUCAAAUGACCCUCUGUGAUUUUUGAUUAUCAACAGUUGGAGGAACACUCAAUUGCUGAUCAUUGGAACGAUCAACUACAUCAUCAAUAUGUUGAAUUAUUGAAGACGAAGGUCCUGAGGCACUGAUGAUAUGGAGCUAUCAUGAUAUCUGUCACUGCUUUCUUAAUGAAAGGAUAGUGAAGGUACUAGCAGCACUAAAUCAAGAAAGGGAUCAACUAGGUGAUCAGCCUCCACCACUGUAUCAAAAGGGAAUAUGUCUUAUGGAUAACCACAUCCCAAGAUAAGAUGUGUUUAGAAGCUACAUCAUACAACUUAUAGCCUUUAACACCAGAGGGAUUUCCUAAGAAAACACAAAAUCGAGCUCUUGGCUGGAACUUGUUUCUGUGAGCAGUCAAGGUUGAAACAAAAGCCAAACAACCAAAUACCCUGAAUGAGGAGUAAUUUGCAGCUUUCUUAUAUAGGAUCUCAUAUGGUGUUUUGUGAUUCAAAAGUAGAGGUGGUGUUACAUUGAUCAAAAAAGUAGUUGCCAACAUACAGUCAGACCAGAAUUUGACAAGAACUUGUGAUUGAAAAUAUA
rnacentral:lncRNA from 1 species